rnacentral:misc_RNA from 1 species
GGGACUACAAGGGUAUCUAAUCCUGUUUGCUACCCACGCUUUCGCGCUUUAGCGUCAGUAUCUGUCCAGUGGGCUGGCUUCCCCAUCGGCAUUCCUACAAAUAUCUACGAAUUUCACCUCUACACUUGUAGUUCCGCCCACCUCUCCAGUACUCUAGUUUGGCAGUUUCCAACGCAAUACGGAGUUGAGCCCCGCAUUUUCACAUCAGACUUACCAAACCGCCUAGACGCGCUUUACGCCCAAUAAAUCCGGAUAACGCUUGCGACAUACGUAUUACCGCGGCUGCUGGCACGUAUUUAGCCGUCGCUUCUUCUGUUGGUACCGUCACUUACUUCGUCCCAACUGAAAGCACUUUACAUUCCGAAAAACUUCAUCGUGCACACAGAAUUGCUGGAUCAGA